ensembl:lncRNA
CCUGUAUAUUUGUGAUUUCCACGAGAAUUUCAUCCAGAGUGUACAAAAUAAAAGGCAGAGAAAGACAACUGACGAUGGCGGAGAUUCUCCUGAGCACGACACAGACAUUCCUGAGGUUGAUCUGUUCCAGCUGCAGGCCUAAUCACAUCUGGGACUCAGGAAACCUCCUUUCCAGGCGUGGCAGUCAGAGUAUCUCAAGAUGAAGGAAAAAGCGUUUUCCCUUGAAUGCUGGCUGUUGUUUCAUCUUCUACUACUUAUAGGAAAUGGAUUUUAGUUCCCUGACCACAGAUUGAACCCACGCCCUUGGCACUGAAAGCACAGAGUCCUAAGCACGGGAUCACCAGGAAAUUCCUCUUUUUUCUCUUGACCUUGAUCGUAACCCUAAUCAGAGGCAUUAACAAGGAAUUUUUGGACUCUUCCUCUAAAUCUAAAUUUGUGAUAUUUAUGCUAGUCCAGAUGAUACUAUGAAAGGAAUAAGUAAGGGGAAGAAAACCACAUCCUAGCAGGAGAACAGAGC